GACGAACGCUGGCGGCGUGCUUAACACAUGCAAGUCGAACGGAAAGGCCCUGCUUGCAGGGUACUCGAGUGGCGAACGGGUGAGUAACACGUGGGUGAUCUGCCCUGCACUUCGGGAUAAGCUUGGGAAACUGGGUCUAAUACCGGAUAGGACCGCACUUUAGUGUGUGUGGUGGAAAGUUUUUUCGGUGUAGGAUGAGCUCGCGGCCUAUCAGCUUGUUGGUGGGGUAAUGGCCUACCAAGGCGGCGACGGGUAGCCGGCCUGAGAGGGUGUACGGCCACAUUGGGACUGAGAUACGGCCCAGACUCCUACGGGAGGCAGCAGUGGGGAAUAUUGCACAAUGGGCGCAAGCCUGAUGCAGCGACGCCGCGUGGGGGAUGAAGGCCUUCGGGUUGUAAACUCCUUUCGCUAGGGACGAAGCUUUGUUGUGACGGUACCUAGAGAAGAAGCACCGGCUAACUACGUG
rnacentral:rRNA from 1 species